GACGAACCGUGCGAACGUUGUUCGGAUUCACUGGGCUUAAAGGGCGCGUAGGCGGGCAAGCAAGUCCGGGGUGAAAUCUUUCGGCUCAACCGGAAAAGUGCCUUGGAUACUGCUUGUCUAGAGGGAGAUAGGGGUUGCUGGAACUUCCGGUGGAGCGGUGAAAUGCGUUGAUAUCGGAAGGAACGCCGGUGGCGAAAGCGAGCAACUGGACCUCUUCUGACGCUGAGGCGCGAAAGCUAGGGGAGCAAACGGG
rnacentral:rRNA from 1 species